CACGGAGGAUGCAAGCGUUAUCCGGAUUUAUUGGGUUUAAAGGGUGCGCAGGUUGUUUGAUAAGUCAGUGGUGAAAGUCUGUCGCUUAACGGUAGGAUUGCCAUUGAUACUGUUGGACUUGAAUAUGGAUGAGGUAGGCGGAAUGUGUAGUGUAGCGGUGAAAUGCAUAGAUAUUACACAGAACACCGAUUGCGAAGGCAGCUUACUAAUCCAUCAUUGACGCUGAGGCACGAAAGCGUGGGGAUCAAACA
rnacentral:rRNA from 1 species